GUCCCUAUAGCGCAAUGGAUAGCGCGUUGGACUUCUAAUCCAAUGGGGACUUCUAAUCCAGUGGGUUCGAAUCCCUUCUGGGAUC